rnacentral:rRNA from 1 species
ACGCUGGCGGCGUGCUUAACACAUGCAAGUCGAACGAUGAAGCGGUGCUUGCACCGUGGAUUAGUGGCGAACGGGUGAGUAACACGUGAGUAACCUGUCCUUGACUCUGGGAUAAGCCUGGGAAACUGGGUCUAAUACUGGAUAUUCACUGCUGAUCGCAUGGUUGGUGGUGGAAAGAUUUUUCGGUUGGGGUUGGACUCGCGGCCUAUCAGCUUGUUGGUGGGGUAGUGGCCUACCAAGGCGGUGACGGGUAGCCGGCCUGAGAGGGUGACCGGCCACACUGGGACUGAGACACGGCCCAGACUCCUACGGGAGGCAGCAGUGGGGAAUAUUGCACAAUGGGCGGAAGCCUGAUGCAGCGACGCCGCGUGGGGGAUGACGGCCUUCGGGUUGUAAACUCCUUUCGCCAUUGACGAAGCCAUCUUUGGUGGUGACGGUAGGUGGAGAAGAAGCACCGGCUGACUACGUGCCAGCAGCCGCGGUAAUACGUAGGGUGCGAGCGUUGUCCGGAAUUAUUGGGCGUAAAGAGCUUGUAGGCGGUUUGUCGCGUCUGCUGUGAAAGCCCGGGGCUUAACUCCGGGUCUGCAGUGGGUACGGGCAGGCUAGAGUAUGGUAGGGGAGACUGGAAUUCCUGGUGUAGCGGUGAAAUGCGCAGAUAUCAGGAGGAACACCGAUGGCGAAGGCAGGUCUCUGGGCCAUUACUGACGCUGAGAAGCGAAAGCAUGGGGAGCGAACAGGAUUAGAUACCCUGGUAGUCCAUGCCGUAAACGUUGGGCGCUAGGUGUGGGACUCUGUCUAUGGGUUCCGCGCCGCAGCUAACGCAUUAAGCGCCCCGCCUGGGGAGUACGGCCGCAAGGCUAAAACUCAAAGGAAUUGACGGGGGCCCGCACAAGCGGCGGAGCAUGCGGAUUAAUUCGAUGCAACGCGAAGAACCUUACCAAGGCUUGACAUGCACCGGAUGAUCGCAGAGAUGUGGUUUCCUUUUGGGCUGGUGCACAGGUGGUGCAUGGUUGUCGUCAGCUCGUGUCGUGAGAUGUUGGGUUAAGUCCCGCAACGAGCGCAACCCUCGUUCCAUGUUGCCAGCACGUGAUGGUGGGGACUCAUGGGAGACUGCCGGGGUCAACUCGGAGGAAGGUGGGGAUGACGUCAAAUCAUCAUGCCCCUUAUGUCUUGGGCUUCACGCAUGCUACAAUGGCCGGUACAGAGGGAUGCGAGACCGUGAGGUGGAGCGAAUCCCUUAAAGCUGGUCUCAGCUCGGAUUGGGGUCUGCAACUCGACCCCAUGAAGUUGGAGUCGCUAGUAAUCGCAGAUCAGCAACGCUGCGGUGAAUACGUUCCCGGGCCUUGUACACACCGCCCGUCAAGUCACGAAAGUUGGUAACACCCGAAGCUCAUGGCCUAACCAGCUUUCUGGGGGGAGUGGUCGAAGGUGGGACUGGCGAUGGACUAAGUCG